GAAAUGAGAUGCCUCAAAAAGAAGCUGCUAACUUCUUUUUUUAGCGGUUUAAUUCCGUUUACAUUUCA
rnacentral:tRNA from 1 species